GGCGUGCUUAACACAUGCAAGUCGAACGAGAAAGCUCUUCGGAGCGAGUACAGUGGCAAACGGGUGCGUAACACGUGGAAAUCUACCUUUUAGUGGAGAACAACCUUGAGAAAUUAAGGCUAAUACUACAUAGUUCCCUUCGGGGAUAAAGAUGGCCUCUUGCUAUCGCUGAAAGAUGAGUCUGCGGACUAUUAGCUUGUUGGUAAGGUAAAAGCUUACCAAGGCUGUGAUGGUUAGCCGACCUGAGAGGGUGUACGGCCACAUUGGAACUGAGAUACGGUCCAGACUCCUACGGGAGGCUGCAGUGGGGAAUAUUGCACAAUGGACGAAAGUUUGAUGCAGCGACGCCGCGUGAAGGAUGAAGGUCUUCGGAUUGUAAACUUCUGUCAAGUGGGAAGAAAUAACUAUGGUUAAUACCCAUAGAAGAUGACGGUACCACUUAAGAAAGCUCCGGCUAACUUCGUGCCAGCAGCCGCGGUAAUACGAAGGGAGCGAGCGUUAUUCGGAAUUACUGGGCGUAAAGGGCGCGUAGGCGGCCAAUUAAGUCAGUUGUUAAAUUUCUCAGCUUAACUGAGAAUCAGCAAUUGAUACUGGUAGGCUAGAGGGCAAGAGAGAGAGGUAGAAUUCCCGGAGUAGCGGUAAAAUGCGUAGAUCUCGGGAGGAAUACCGGUUGCGAAGGCGGCCUCUUGGCUUGUACCUGACGCUAAAGCGCGAAAGCGUGGGGAGCAAACAGGAUUAGAUACCCUGGUAGUCCACGCCGUAAACGAUGAUCACUGGAUGUGAGUCUUGUUUUUGCAAGAUUUGUAUCGAAGCUAACGCGUUAAGUGAUCCGCCUGGGGAGUACGGUCGCAAGAUUAAAACUCAAAGGAAUUGACGGGGGUCCGCACAAGCGGUGGAACAUGUGGUUUAAUUCGACACUACGCGAGAAACCUUACCUAGACUUGACAUGUAAUAGACGUCCAUAGAAAUAUGGAGUUCCAAGCUUGCUUGGACUGUUACACAGGUGCUGCAUGGCUGUCGUCAGCUCGUGUCGUGAGAUGUUGGGUUAAGUCCUUUAACGAGCGCAACCCUUGCCGUUAGUUACUAUCCUUCGGGAUGGACUCUAGCGGGACUGCCUAGGAAACUAGGAGGAAGGUGGGGAUGACGUCAAGUCCUCAUGGCCCUUAUGUCUAGGGCUACACACGUGUUACAAUGGCUAGUACAACGGGUUGCUACCCUGCGAAGGAUGGCUAAUCUCUUAAAGCUAGUCUAAGUUCGGAUUGGAGUCUGCAAUUCGACUCCAUGAAGUUGAAAUCGCUAGUAAUCGCGUAUCAGAACGACGCGGUGAAUACGUUCUCGGACCUUGUACACACCGCCCGUCACACCACGAAAGUCGCUUAUACCCGAAAUCAUUUUAACUAACCCGUAAGGGAGGUGGGUGAUGAAGGUAUGGGUGGUGAU
rnacentral:rRNA from 1 species